rnacentral:rRNA from 1 species
CCUACGGGCGGCAGCAGUAGGGAAUUUUCGGCAAUGGGGGGAACCCUGACCGAGCAACGCCGCGUGAACGAAGAAGUUAUUCGUAAUGUAAAGUUCUUUUAACAGGGAAGAAAGAGAAAUUUGACGGUACCUGAAGAAUAAGCUCCGGCUAACUACGUGCCAGCAGCCGCGGUAAUAAGUAGGGAGCGAGCGUUAUCGGGAAUUAUUGGGCGAAAAGGGUGCGUAGAUGGCAUAGUAAGUCUUUUGUAAAAAUGCUGGGCUCAACCCAGUAGGGCAAAAGAUACUGCAAAGCUAGAGUAUGACAGAGGCAAGUGGAACUACAUGUGUAGCGGUAGAAUGCGUAAAUAUAUGUAAGAACACCAGUGGCGAAGGCGACUUGCUGGGUCGAGACUGACAUUGAGGCAUGAAAGCGUGGGGAGCAAACAGGAUUAGAUACCCUUGUAGUC